GACGAACGCUGGCGGCGUGCUUAACACAUGCAAGUCGAACGGAAAGGCCCUGCUUUUGUGGGGUGCUCGAGUGGCGAACGGGUGAGUAACACGUGAGUAACCUGCCCUUGACUUUGGGAUAACUUCAGGAAACUGGGGCUAAUACCGGAUAGGAGCUCCUGCUGCAUGGUGGGGGUUGGAAAGUUUCGGCGGUUGGGGAUGGACUCGCGGCUUAUCAGCUUGUUUGUGGGGUAGGUGCUUACCAAGGCUUUGACGGGUAGCCGGCCUGAGAGGGUGACCGGCCACAUGGGGACUGCGAUACGGACCAGACGCCUACGGGAGGCAGCAGUGGGGAAUAUGGCAGAAUGGGGGGAAGCCUGAUGCAGCAACGCCGCGUGCGGGAUGACGGGCUUCUGGUUGUAAACCGCUUUCGCAUGUGACGAAGCGAGAGUGACGGUAAUGGGUAAAGAAGCAACGGCUAACUACGUG
rnacentral:rRNA from 1 species